rnacentral:rRNA from 1 species
CCUACGGGAGGCAGCAGUGGGGGAUAUUGCACAAUGGGGGAAACCCUGAUGCAGCGACGCCGCGUGUGGGAAGACGGUCCUCUGGAUUGUAAACCACUGUCCCCAGGGACGAAGAUGACGGUACCUGGGGAGGAAGCUCCGGCUAACUACGUGCCAGCAGCCGCGGUAAUACGUAGGGAGCGAGCGUUGUCCGGAAUUACUGGGUGUACAGGGAGCGUAGGCGGGACUGCAAGUUGGGUGUCAAAUCUACCGGCUCAACCGGUAGCCGCACUCAACCCUGCAGUUCUUGAGUGAAGUAGAGGCAGGCGGAAUUCCUGGUGUAGCGGUGAAAUGCGUAGAUAUUAGGAGGAACACCAGUGGCGAAGGCGGCCUGCUGGGCUUUUACUGACGCUGAGGCUCGAAAGUGUGGGGAGCAAACAGGAUUAGAUACCCCAGUAGUC